ensembl:lncRNA
UACAGUGCUACUGUGGGAGGGGAGGUUACAAUCAGAUGCCUCUUGCCUUUACAUUCACGAAACAUAAAGUUCCUCUGUAAAGAUGAAUGUAAAACAACGAUCAUCAACACAAAUAAUCUCACAAUUAUGAAUGGCAGACAUGAAAUUGAGUAUUGGAGUAACACGGUGUUUAACGUGACCAUCACAAACCUAAUCAAGUCGGACUCUGGGCGGUACAAGUGUGGCGUGCGAAAAAAAGAUGCAAAAAAUACAUGCCUGGAAUUUGAGAUCUCAGUAACAGAUGUCCUCUUCUUUCAGCUGCAGUCCCAGGAGUGUUAAAAGUGAGAUCAUGCAAUGAACAAGUAUGAAAACAAGAAUUAAAACCAGCAGGAAUGAAGUUUGUAAGAGUCAGUGUUUAUACAACUACUACUUUGGAUCUUAUUAAGCAGACUCCAAUCCUGCUUCAUCAUACAGACCUUGAAGGUAACAUCCUGCUGCUGGCUGUAUGCGUGACUGUGGUUGUGGUGCUACUCGCUGUUUUUGUUCUGCUCUUCUACAAACUGAAGAUAAAGCGUAAGCGUGUUCAGUAUGUGAACACGAGAGGUAAUGGAAGAAAUAUGGAGGUUGCUGUCUAUGAUGAUGUUGCUGAAGUCUACCAAAGUGCCACUGACGGGUCAACAUACCAGGAGCUCAGCAGCAGGGAAGAAGCGCUGUACUCUUUAUUUGAGCCUCCACCAAAUGCAAAUCUGCACUGAUAAUCAAUAGGUUAUGUUUGGGGGGGUUUCUUUCUGGUAGAAUGUGUCUUUUCCUUUUCCUCACAUUGUUUAUAAAUUUAGUUAGAAAAGAAGAAGAAAGGCAAAAGGUGUGGAUUUACUUUGGUAAAUCUUUUAUUCAGUUAAAAGUAAGUGUUACCUGGUUAGUUAUGGAGUAUUCAGUAAAGAUGUAGUAGUUUCUCGUGGUAUUUUUGCUGCAUGUGACAAUAAAGCUUAAACAGUACGAACAAUUUGGAGAG